AGUGAACGCUGGCGGUAGGCCUAACACAUGCAAGUCGAACGGCAGCACAGUAAGAGCUUGCUCUUACGGGUGGCGAGUGGCGGACGGGUGAGGAAUACAUCGGAAUCUACUUUUUCGUGGGGGAUAACGUAGGGAAACUUACGCUAAUACCGCAUACGACCUACGGGUGAAAGCAUGGGAUCUUCGGACCUUGCGCGAUUGAAUGAGCCGAUGUCGGAUUAGCUAGUUGGCGGGGUAAUGGCCCACCAAGGCGACGAUCCGUAGCUGGUCUGAGAGGAUGAUCAGCCACACUGGAACUGAGACACGGUCCAGACUCCUACGGGAGGCAGCAGUGGGGAAUAUUGGACAAUGGGCGCAAGCCUGAUCCAGCCAUACCGAGUGGGUGAAGAAGGCCUUCGGGUUGUAAAGCCCUUUUGUGGGGAAAGAAAAGCAGCAGGUUAAUACCCCGCUGUUCUGACGGUACCCAAAGAAUAAGCACCGGCUAACUUCGUG
rnacentral:rRNA from 1 species